CUGAAUCCUGGUAGAUGUGGGGGAGGACUGCUUGGUGUGUGCAGUUGUAGUGAAGCUGUGUCCUGAUGGAUCCUGACUGAUCAUCUGCUGUGUAGCCCCAUGGUGAAGAGGAAACUCAGCCCUUGUCACCCCCUCAUUUGAGCCAGAGUUGUCUGCUGACCAACCUUCCCAGUGUCUCCUUUAAUCAGGGCCCCAGAGUGAGCAAGGUAAUCUAAACUGGUGUGGUCGUGUAGAGGGGUUAAUCCCACUUAAGUAUUUUUGCCAGUU